UUCCUUCUGAUCCUCAGUUUCUGAUUUAUUGUCAUUGUCAACGGUAUUAGCAAGGGCAUCCUUGCCCUGUUCAGACUUGUUAGCUUUCACAUCAAUCUUCUUUUUAAUCUCCUUUAGAAGUCCACCUUGCUUUCCAAGACCCUUAACAGGUGGUUCAGGCUUAGCAUCUUCAGUGUUCUUAGAAUCAGUUUUGUUUGAAGCUUGAUUUUGCAGAUGUUGCACCCAACAAGCUCCUAAUUCCCACCUUAUAGGCUUGGUAUUCCUUGAGGGCUCAGCUUCCAAUUUCUGCAGACUGUCCUCAAAUACUUUCCUCACAAGGGACUUAACCACACGUAUUUGUUCUGAGUCUGCAUUUGGUGAUCUCUGAGCUAUGCUGGAAGGAGUUGACGACUUGUGUAACAGAGUCCUCAAGCUGAAAUGAAUAUUCAGAAAACGAUUGCUAAAUACCAUAUAUUUCCCAAUUCACAUAUAGUAUGCCAAAAUGUCAAUUAUGCCAAGAGAAAUGCAAAUAUGAGAUGCCUUUGUUGCUCGAAACUUUACACAACCAUGAGGAAUUAGUAAGACUAACGCAUAUACAACACAAGAUGAUUUUUACCUAUUUACAUUCAGUGCAUUUGCACCUCCAUCUGAUUGGUCUUCAAUGUCUAUAUCCAGUGGGAGACUGCCCACAUCCAAGUUAAAUUCAGCAGCAACCUUCACAAUAGCUGUGAAACCACAAUGUCUGACAACCACCACACCCAAGGUCGAUGUAUCCUGUAUGAUUGAAUAAAUCUCAGUAACAAAUCCAGCAAGAGGAAACUAAGAAAAUUAGCACAAGCUAUAACAAAAUUACAUGAACCGUCGCACUCUCAUCAGCAGUGAUCCCUUUAAGCAAAUUUCUCUGAGCAAGUUCUUCCUGAGAGAUCUCUAGAACCCGAGUCCCAUCACUCUUUCGGUCUAGCUUGGAACUGGCAUCAGGGUCAUCUCUAGCAGGAAAGAUUAGCGCAUAGGUCAAUAAUGAUGGUGAAGAUUAUGAAGAAACAGAGCAAAGACACAUAAGAAAGUAACAAACCCAUUCUCCAGGGCAGAGAGCGCGGUAGUACUUGGCGAACCUCUCGCAAUCAACAGAGUCCUCACCCUUUGCAGUUGUGCACCUACAAAGAUGGUUUUUGUUUUUUAAACGUUAGAAUAGAUUGAAGAGCCACUAAGUAACUCAAUCAAGCAAGAGUACAUGUUGAAACUAGAAUAAGAGUUCCACCUGUGGAACUCAAUGUAACGGGUGAAGCAGUGUCUUGUCUGGUUUGUUGUAGGGAAGCGGAAAUCAGCAGGAGCAGUUUUCAGAUCAAUCUGACACAAAUAGAAAUAACAAAAACAAGUAAGACACCGAGACACACUUCCUAGUGACUGACAAAGAGGAAAACGAUAACUUCAUUUUUUUCUUUCUCUUCAGCAUAUUCUAUUGCAAUAAGAUAUAUAUUUCUUCUCAAUUAAAAAAACGUCUUCACAAUUCAAAGCUUUCAUCUCUCUUUGCCUUUUGAUUCUUAAAUCUAACUCCCGACCAUAUUGAACACACCACACGCACGCAACCAAACCAAGUAGCUAAGCUAGCUUCCAUCAAAAUAGAAUUACAUACAAAGAAUCUAAACGAUACGUAGUGACCAAAUCAGAUCUUGAAUCGAGGUCGAAUUUUCAAAACCAGAAUUUAGAUAUAUUUUUUUCCACAAUCUCCGGCGGGAAACAAAGCUAAUAUCAUUUUUUUUAUGUUGAAUAAAUAUGAAAAGAAGAACGAUUACCUCAUCCUCCAUGGCUGAUUCUGAAGAGGAACGAUGAGAAGGUUUGGUUGGUUAGGAGAAAGAGGAGACGGAGUCUAUUGAAAAUGAAUGAAGUUUGAAGAUGGCCACCAUUCUCUCCGGUGACGACUUGGAGAAGCCAAAAGGCCGCGUCCAGUGUUGGGCUUCCAUAAAUUAAUGGGCCUAAUUGUUUUUGUUGGUUCAAGUUUUUAACCAUCCGAUGGGUUAAAGUCGGUUUAGUUUAGCCGAUUUCAUUUUGGUUGUUGGACCUCCUCUUCCAGUCAAGAGAGUUGAGCAGAGAGCAUCUCUGACUGCGACUCUGCUUCCUCGUUGAAUCCUCAAACUCCCACAAUACAAUAGAUAUAAUCAGGGUGUUCGCCUUUUAGGAGCCCAUGAGUUAUCGAGUUCACAACACUGAACACUAUUCAGUGUAAAUCAAAACACAUAGCAAAACAAAAGGACAAAAUGACUUUAUUCGGAGGCUCCUCAACGAUUCAACACUUUUUAGUUUUCAGCUAUGGAAACCAAAAAGAAAAAAAAACUGAAAGCAAGAGUAAUGUUGUUAAAGCAUGAGGUACUGAGUCUUGGUCCUGCGCUGCAACACAAAAUAUCCAAAUGUAGAAAUGCUUCAAACCUCAUCCAUGGAGCCAAGUUUCUCUCCAUUCCUUUUAGCCUCAAUGUUAAAACUUCAAUGACAGAAAAAUUGCUUCUUCAAUUUGUGACUUCAAUUUCAUUGUCGCUGUAAUCUCCCCAGCACUUGCCUCCUUGUCCUUUCCCAUUAGAUAUCUCUUGUGCUGUGGUUUUCUCUUCACCUUCUGUCGAGUGUCCAUUUUCAGGUGUUUCUUGUGCAAUGACUUCUUCAUCCUCUGCACCUUUCUUCUCCUUGUUGCUCUCUUCUUCACCUCCACUCUUCUCCUCAGCCAUUUCAGUACCAGGUAAUCCCUCCAAAGCCACUGGUGUAUGCCCAUUCUGAGGCUGUACAGGUAUGUUACACGGAUAUGCACCUUCUGCUACUGGCGACAACGGGUACCCAUUCUGUGUUAUUUCCGUCCCAUUUGGUGAUGCCAAAUAUCCGUUUGGUGACACUGGAUAACCAUUAGAAACCCAUGGUUGACUCGGUAUGAACUCAGCCGCGUGAGGGUUCAUUAUCCUUGGGCCAAUGAAUUGAUUAGCAUCGCCAUUGGACUCAGCGAUAAUGGGGAAGCUUGGUUUGUUGCGAGGAACCCUGUUUCCAGAUCGGUUGUAACCACCACCUGAGAGCCUUGGUCCAUAGGGAACUCGAGCUGUUACAGACUGAUGAGGAGUUGACCUCCGGACAUGGUUUACAGGAAGCAUUGGCGGUAUGUUCAAUGGGGAGGGAAGGAUUCCCACGUGGUCGUUGAAUCCUGGAACUGCUAUCGACCCAAAAAUUGGAAUGGUCGUUGGGGUAUAGGGCGGUGCCGAAGCAGAGAGCUUCUUGCUCAUCUCCUUUUGUGCCUCGCAUGCUUCUUGCUUUUCUCCAUCUGCAACUACUGAUGUCUUUGGGCUUGAGUCUCCAUUGGGCAGAUCUUCCGUUUCACCAUCUACUGCUUUCAGUUCAGUACCAGAGACAUCCUUAUGUUGCUUCACUCCAUUUGAGUCCUCAGCCGUUUGUACACUUUCUGAUUUUCCUUGACUUGCAUCUGAAACAGCUGUCUCUGUUGGAGAUCCUUCUGCUGCUGCCUUUUCAGCCUUGAUAUCCUCUGGUGAACUCAUCGACUCUGAUCCACCAACAGCCACCCCUCCUUGUUCAUUGCUAUCAGCAUUUUUUGCUUCAGUUUCUGUAGUCACAUGCUUAUUCUCACUAACAACAUCCUCACCGUUAACUUUUUCAGGACCAUCUACUGCGACUUUUGCUGCAUCCAAAGUCUCUGGAGCAGUCGUUUCUUCUGGCAACUGCUCCGCAACUAUUUUCACAAUUGUUCCAGGGGGUGCCAGUGCAACUUCCUUAUAGGAAAACAGUUUUCCAGCUUGGGAAGUCACAGGACUCACCAUCAGAGUUGGCUUGUUGAUCUGUUCGGUGCAAGGUGAGCUUACCAGGGCUGAUUUACUGUUAACUGGCUUUUCUACCACUACACUGGAACUGUUUUGCUUUCUGUUCAAACUUGAGCUCUUCAAAAGCUUCUUCGCGUGCUGGGAAGUAGAACCACCAGCAGAAAUUGUAAGCUCAUUUGAAUUAGUCCUUGGGGAUGCGAAGUUAGUGGAUUUUCCUCUGCUUUUUGUUGUCUGCUGGGUCACGUUCAUGAAGUUUGUGUUCAGCUUUGCCAGGCUGGGACGGGUUCUUCGCCCAGAAGGAUGACGAUUUUUUGGGACAGCUUCUUGCCAUCCUUCGUCAGAGUCAUCAUCCACUUGUGCCGUGGACUCUAGCUUAACCAGCGUCAGCUGAUCUUGAGGUUGCAAAUCAAGUUUAUCAACCUUUGUUUCUUCAGGUUUUGCAUCUGAUUUGUUCUCCUUGUCACUUGAGCUCUCCCCAGUGAUACUAGUCGGACUCAGAAUUUCAUCAUCUUUCUGAUUAUCUUCAGACACAGGUCCUGGACUUUGUCCUGGUCUUCCCUUGACCUGAAUAAACAUUUUCGAUCAAAAUAUCUGUCACAACUUAGUUAAUGAGAGCAGUUCAGUAAAAACAUGAAUUAAGUCAGCAGAAAGCAAUUAUAACCUUUAGGCGAGCUUUCCUUUGAGCGUCCCUUGCUUUAAGAUCAGUAUCCGGGGUUAUAUAAUCUAGCAGGUCCGAUACACUGUUAUUGGGAAGAAAGCUUAUGAGUUACAUAAUCCGGACAAGAGUUUACGCAAGAUAUAACUUUAUACUAUUUCUAUCUUUUGGUCCCUAUGUACAGAAUGUAAACGGUGCUAAGAAUAUAUAAAAGGCAAACGUUUUAAUACCUGAGAUGGCCUUUGCUGGAAAUAGAGGCGUCUGGCUUGGGAGUACCAUUUCGUGCAGCUUCUUGCUGUUCCAGAGCUUUAGACUCAAAAUACUCGAGCCACGCAGCCGCAUCCUAAAACAAUUCUGGAGCGUAAGAAACUUUGUAAGUGAAACUAAAUGUAAUUAGUAGCUAAUUACGCACCUGUGUCCGAAGAUCCUCAGGGCCAAGUUUUGCCUGUAGAAUCUGUAGAGUUGUCUGCUCAUGCUGGACGCUCAAGGAGUAUGCUUCCAUCAGAGAAAGAGCAAUAGCAAUGGCAUGGUAGCUUGCAGCAGUCUGAAAAAAAUAUAUAACAGAAGUAGUUCAAUUCUCAAGUGCAUCGCUUAAGCUUCCACAGUAAAAUUUACCAUUUAAAUGCAAGUCCUUGCAGCAAAACCAACCUGGAUAUGAUCAGCUCCAAGUAGUCUCUGGUUACAUUUCAACGCUUCAUGAAGGUAUCUUAAAGCCACAUGGACAUUCCCCAAACCUUCUUCCAUCAUCGCUACAUUAAUAUAAGUGGCAGCAGUAUUUGGAUGUGACGGUCCACAUGUUAGAUGCAGAAGGUACAAUGCACGGUUGACAUAUCUACAACAAUAAUAACAUGUUAGCAGCUCGAAACAACUAAUUUUUAGGCUUUGGCUUUCGGAAACGCAGAGAGCAUACUUUAAAGCUAAUUCUGUGUGCUGGAGACGAUAAUAGAAGACGGCCAGGUCGCCGUAGCUUUUCAUUGUGUCUGGAUGAUCAAGUCCAAGCUCCCUUUCAUUUAUGUCGAGUGCUUUCUGCUGAUAAAUGGUAGCCUGAAAAAUCAAAACUGGUUAGUUGCAUGCAGUAGAGACAUUCUUCUGUACAGGAAGUAAAUGAACUGAGCGAUGACUUGGAGACGAUCCCAAAUUCUUUCGAAGUGAAUACCUGGUUAAAGUCCCCAGUAUGGUAAAGCACAACAGCAAGUAGACUAUAUGCUCCGGCGGUCAUUCUAUGAUAUGGGCCGCACACUGCUACAAGCUUCGUCAAUGCCUAUAGAGUUACCCCAGAAUAUCAACUCACUUAAACCGUUUAAAGUAAAUAAAUACAUUCAAUGAAGAAAGUAUCAGAGACAAGCUGAAGGGGUUAAGAAUGUCAGAGACAACCAAUGCCUAUUGAUUCUUUCAGUGCAUAAUCAUCCUUGCCCGUUAAAACAAAACUCACUUAUUCAUAUUUACAUGGGGUUAAGAAUGCCUACUCAGUAAGUCUUAUGCUAGUUCUAAAUAUAAAAUUGGUUGAUAAGGACAAAAGAUGGGCUUAGAAAAUAAAAAUUGUAUUCCAUUGAUUUCAGUUUGUUCGCAGAUGAAGGAUUAUAUAAUGAGUAGUGGCAGGAGAGGUCAUGCAAAGAAGGGAUCAGUGUAUUCAGACUAGUCAAGAGCUUCAUUACAUAGUUCGUAUAUAACAAGAGGAAUGAGAAAGAGAUCAGUUAUACCUUGGUACCAUAACUGACAGCAUCCUCUAGUUUUCCUUUAUCCAAGGAAGUUUUGGAUGACUCCAACAAAGUACGUCCAUCAGCGGAUGAACAUGCAACAUGCUGCACAGAAAAGCAGUAACGUUUAGUCACUUAAUAGUUUCACUUUUCUAUUAUGGCUUAUUACUGAAAUAAGAUAGAUAAACAAUGGUACCUUAUAUACAGGAACCAUACUGAUAAUAUCCAACUUCUUGAAUGGACAUGAUGUGUCCAUCUCAUAGUCUUUAGGAACAAGCUCCAGUCCAACCUAGUGAAACAACAUAUGAAAAAGAGAAUCUAAGGUUAGAAUGUCACAAUUGGAUGAAAAAAAAAAAACAGAUUGACAGUCCCAAACCUUGUGUGACAGUCCCCUAAGAAUGGAGAAUUUUCUCAAUUCCUGGCAACCUUCAUGCUUCCAAUCCCACCCAUAUCUCUUGGAAAUGAAAGUUUCUACCCAGGUCCACUUUAUCUUUUCGUCGUAUUCGCUCUCAGUGUCAGACGGUGUUCCCAAUAGGACAUUUAAGCAUGUUGCUAUUGAGAUGGCUAGAUCAGCAGCGUUUUCAACAGCUGCUACAACAGCCUGCAGUAUAUGCUUGUAUGCUCGAACAAUCAUUUCAUGGAUACAAAGGGAUUGCACAUGAGGGAGCUUGUCAGCCAGCUCGACCUAAGAUGAAAGAAGAAAAGAGUGACUACUAAAGAAACGGGCCACUUUGCUUGUCUAAGCAUAUUCCUCCAAUUUGAAGCAAAGGUACCAAAAACUAUAAUUGAAAUGGUUACCACUCUCCCCAAGGAAUGCAUCUGUAAGCCUCUGGUGUGCAUAAAGUCAGUCAGAGUUCUCCCAUCGACGGGUGAGAGUUCAAGAGAUCCAAAGUCUGCCACCUGCAAUGUAUCAAUUCGAAGUUUAUGAGGAGCUGAGGAUUAUUACUAUAGAGGGAAAAAAAGUCCAAGGAACUGACCAGUUUCGGAAGAGCGGUGUCAGUGUAGUAUUUGCGGGACAUCUCAAUCAGCUCUCUUGGUGACUGCAGGACAAGUUCAUGGAGAGAGAGUACACAAGGUAAGAUUCAUAAAAGCCAACUAGGUAAGUAGACGUCGUCUCUUAUUACUAUAUAAUAAUGUUAUCAGCUGGUGAAACAAACAAACCUUGAGAUGAAAACCAGUUUCUGAUUCUUUAAGACGCUGAUAUGCAGCUUCUGUCACUAAUUCUUUCCACAUCUUUUCCAUCUCCUCAUUUUGUUUCUCGAGUUCCUUCUGAUCCUCAGUUUCUGAUUUAUUGUCAUUGUCAACGGUAUUAGCAAGGGCAUCCUUGCCCUGUUCAGACUUGUUAGCUUUCACAUCAAUCUUCUUUUUAAUCUCCUUUAGAAGUCCACCUUGCUUUCCAAGACCCUUAACAGGUGGUUCAGGCUUAGCAUCUUCAGUGUUCUUAGAAUCAGUUUUGUUUGAAGCUUGAUUUUGCAGAUGUUGCACCCAACAAGCUCCUAAUUCCCACCUUAUAGGCUUGGUAUUCCUUGAGGGCUCAGCUUCCAAUUUCUGCAGAC
rnacentral:lncRNA from 1 species